CUGUCCUUACCUUUCCUUGCGCCAUUUCCCUUCAUAGGACACGGGCAGGGUGCUAGGUGUGCAUCCUCACAGGCUAGGUCUUGGGAGCCAUGGAGAAGGAAGAGCAGAGAAAAAUCAUGAGGGGCAGUGGGUGCUGAAGUGGAGUGGUGACUCUGAUUACUCAUCUCUGUUCAUUGAGUUGGGCUCAGGUAGAUGACAAGGGAGAGGAAGGCAGGGAUGAGGGCAAGAUUUCAUGCAUGAAUCGAACUGUUUGUACUGAUGGCUCAUGGGUGGGUUUUGCAGGUGCACUUCCAGAGGAAGUGUCCAGGAGCCCCAGCCCGAGGAGAAGCUGGCAGAAGUGGAUGUGAUCAGCCUGAACAUCCUUCUAAGCAGACAUGAGCAGUCCUCAGCUUUCUGCCUCGCACAUAACACUUCAUGACUUGUAGCAGCACGGCUGAAGCUUAAGAUAAAUGCAUGGUAGAGGCUGAGUACAGGCGGCUGCUUCACUUUAGUUCCACAGACAAAGAAGUCAAGGCUGCGCUUCUAGAGGAAUCAUGGAGGAGCAGUAGCCAAAGGAGAAGGUGGCAGAUGUGGACCUGAGCAGCUUGGGCAUUCUUCUAAGCAGAGAUUAACAGUCCUCAGCUUUCUGCCUUGCACAUAACUGGCUUAUUGUUCACAGGCCGUGUGCUUCCUCGUUGGGUACAGGACUCUGUGGUAUUAAGGCUGGGGAGUGGCCAGAGUCUGCUGUUCAGAGUGACUGUUGGAUGCUGUUGCAAGGGCUGCUUUUUGGCUGAAAUGCUAAAGGUGUCAUGGGAAGAGUGUUGAGGGUGGAGCGCCGCCAUGUGGGAGAGGUGAAAAGAAGAGCUAAUGCGAUGUUGCCCGCUUAGAUGAGGCCCGCUCAAGGCCAAUGGAGCCGCCCCAGACAGAGGAGAAGCAUCUGGAGGAACCAGACCUGCACAAUCUAGAUGUUUUUCACUUGGCAGUGGAGCUAAGGAGUGCUCUUGUGAUAUUUGAGGAGCAGGUACGGAUGCCCAGUUAGCUACGGCUCAGUGUGUAACAAAAUGAGCUGUGGAUAUGUGGGAGACAAGGUCCCCAUUUUCAGCAUCAGCUCAUUUCUCCGUUCACAAGCGGUGUGUCCUCUGCAGAAAAGCUUGGAUCCAGGAGGAUGAUUCCAGCUGCGCUGGUACAGGAAUUGUCCAGGAACCCUACCCGGAGGAGAGAGACUCAGAAGUGAACCUGAUCAGCCUGAACAUUCUUCUAAGCAGACAUGAACAGUCCUCAGCUUUCUGCCUCCUGCAUAAAUGGCUGAAAAGAAGUCAUGUGCCAGUCUACUGCCCUCAUGUGAUGGAAAGCGAGCGAGAGCGAUGAGACCGUGAGCAUGGUUGAUGCCACGCAAAAGCCGUCCAUCUGGCAGCAGAAGAGCCGUCGCUGUCAGUGAGAUAAGUGUCUGUUUUGGUGAGGGCUCUGCUCAUGGCCCACGUUGAUGCUGGUAGGGAUGCCCCGUUAGCUAGGGCUGGGUUUGUAAGAAAAGGUUCCUGACUAGCUGUGGUUGUAAGAGAGACAAGGUUCCCAAUUUCAGGGGCUGAUGAUUCCUCUGGUCAGGAGCAGUGUGACUUAUGCAGCAGAAAGUAGCAUCUAGAGGAUGACUCCAGGUGUCGAGUUACUUGCCUUCCUCCCAUGUUUCUCUGUCUUCUCUAUUGUGUUGGCCAACACUCUCGCUCUUUCAUUCUCUCUUCCUUGCCUUUCCUGGUGCUGUCUCUACGCAGGACGCGGGAAAAGGGUGCUAGGUGUGCAUCCACACAGUCUACGUCUUUGGGACCCAUGAAAAAUUAGGAGGGUAUGAAAAUCAUGCAUAUUAGUGGGUGCCACAGUGGAGCAGUGCCUGUGGGUGUUGACUUGGUCUUUAAUCAUCACCUGGGGAUGAUGUAGACCAAAUGAGAGAGGGAGGCAGAGAUUAGGGCAAGAUUUCACGUACCUUCAGAGCUUUGUAUAAUGCUGUCUCAUCCUUGGCUUUUGCAACUGCACUGGCAGAGGAAUUGUCCAGGAGCGCUGUCUGGAGGAGAGACUCUCAAAAGUGGACCUGAACAUCCUUCUAAGCAGACAUGAACAGUCCUCAGCUUUCUGCCUCCUGCAUAACUGGCUUACCAAGGGAAAAGAAGUCACGUAUCAAUCUACUGUCCUCAUGCGAAGGAAAGCGAGACCGACGAGACCGCGAUCAUUGUCGAAAUCAGGCAUUAGCUGUACAUCUGGGAGCGGAGCAGUCACCGCUGUCAGUGAGAUAAAUGUCUGGUUUGGUGAGGGAUCUGCUCAUGGUCCACCUGGCUCCAGGUAGGGAUGCCCCAUUAGCUGGGGCUGGGUUUGUAAGAAAAGAUUCCUGACUAGCUGCUGUUAUGAGGGA